rnacentral:rRNA from 1 species
AUUGAACGCUGGCGGCAGGCCUAACACAUGCAAGUCGAACGAGUGGCGGACGGGUGAGUAAUGUCUGGGAAACUGCCUGAUGGAGGGGGAUAACUACUGGAAACGGUAGCUAAUACCGCAUACCAUCAGAUGUGCCCAGAUGGGAUUAGCUUGUGGGUGGGGUAACGGCUCACCAAGGAGACGAUCCCUAGCUGGUCUGAGAGGAUGACCAGCAACACGGGAACUGAGACCCGGUCCAGACUCCUACGGUAGGCAGCAGUGGAGAAUAUUGCAGAAUGGGCGCAAGCCUGCUGCAGCCAUGCCGCUUGUAGGAAGAAGGCCUUCGGGUUGUAAAGUACUUUCAGCGGGGAGGCGUUACCCGCAGAAGAAUCACCGGCUAACUCCGUGCCAGCAGCCGCGGUAAUAC